GGGCCUGUAGUAUAACGGCAGAACAUCUCCAUGGCAUGGAGAAGGUCGGGGUUCAAUUCCCCGCAGGUCCACCA
rnacentral:tRNA from 1 species